GCCAAGAGACUGCUGUGUGCCCUCCUAGGCUCCCUGCACAUCCACCGGCUUCACAAACUCCUGGGGAUUAGCUGAUCCAAACCACCCUAGUGUGAAAAUCCUGGUGGCAUAUAGUCUCAACCCUUCCUACUCCGAAAGGCAGAGAGACAAGUCUGCCUACAGCUCUGAUACCCAUGUGCUCCUGCCAGAAGGCACCGUCACUCUGUCUUCUGUGUUUGACCUGAGGUGUCCCGGUUCCAACCACUCACAUUCGUGCCUCCUCUCAAGUUCCACAGACUGUAUUUCCAGCAGAAAUCCCUGCCUGCGAGCAUGGAUCAGACUCGGUGUCAGAAAUAGAUUUUCUCCGAUUUCCUCUGC